UCCGUAGGUGAACCUGCGGAAGGAUCAUUAAUGAAUUCACUAUGGAGUUGUUGCUGGCCUCUAGGGGCAUGUGCACGCUUCACUAGUCUUUCAACCACCUGUGAACUUUUGAUAGAUCUGUGAAGUCGUCUUUCAAGUCGUCAGACUUGGUUUGCUGGGAUUUAAACGUCUCGGUGUGACAACGCAGUCUAUUUACUUAACACACCCCAAAUGUAUGUCUACGAAUGUCAUUUAAUGGGCCUUGUGCCUAUAAACCAUAAUACAACUUUCAACAACGGAUCUCUUGGCUCUCGCAUCGAUGAAGAACGCAGCGAAAUGCGAUAAGUAAUGUGAAUUGCAGAAUUCAGUGAAUCAUCGAAUCUUUGAACGCACCUUGCGCCCCUUGGUAUUCCGAGGGGCAUGCCUGUUUGAGUGUCAUUAAAUUCUCAAACUCACUUUGGUUUUUUUCCAAUUGUGAUGUUUGGAUUGUUGGGGGCUGCUGGCCUUGACAGGUCGGCUCCUCUUAAAUGCAUUAGCAGGACUUCUCAUUGCCUCUGCGCAUGAUGUGAUAAUUAUCACUCAUCAAUAGCACGCAUGAAUAGAGUCCAGCUCUCUAAUCGUCCGCAAGGACAAUUUGACAAUUUGACCUCAAAUCAGGUAGGACUACCCGCUGAACUUAAGCAUAUCAAUAAGCGGAGGA
rnacentral:rRNA from 1 species